GACGAACGCUGGCGGCGUGCUUAACACAUGCAAGUCGAACGGAAAGGCCCUGCUUUUGUGGGGUGCUCGAGUGGCGAACGGGUGAGUAACACGUGAGUAACCUGCCCUUGACUUUGGGAUAACUUCAGGAAACUGGGGCUAAUACCGGAUAGGAGCUCCUGCUGCAUGGUGGGGGUUGGAAAGUUUCGGCGGUUGGGGAUGGACUCGCGGCUUAUCGGCUUGUUGGUGGGGUAGUGGCUUACGAAGGGUUUGACGGGUAGCCGGCAUGAGAGGGUGACCGGCCACAUGGGGACUGCGGGACGGCCCAGUCGCCUACGGGACGCAGCAGUGGGGAAUAUUGCGCAAUGGGGGGAAGCCAGAUGCAGCAGCGCCGCGUGCGGGAUGACGGCCUUCGGGUUGUAAACCGCUGUCGCCUGUGACGAAGCGUGAGUGACGGUAAUGGGUAAAGAAGCACCGGCUAACUACGUG
rnacentral:rRNA from 1 species